rnacentral:rRNA from 1 species
UUCGCAAUGCCCGAAAGGGUGACGAAGCGACGCCGCGUGGGUGAGGAAGGCCUUCGGGUUGUAAAGCCCUGUCAGGAGUUAAGAAAUGUAAGUGUGCUAAUAUCGCAUUUACUUGACGAAGGCUCCAAAGGAAGUCACGGCUAACUCUGUGCCAGCAGCCGCGGUAAUACAGAGGUGGCAAGCGUUGUUCGGAAUUAUUGGGCGUAAAGAGCACGUAGGUGGGUUUGUAAGUCAGAUGUGAAAGCCUCCUGUUCAACGGGAGAAUUGCAUCUGAAACUACUGAUCUUGAGUAUAGGAGGGGAGAAUGGAACUUCUGGUGGAGCGGUGAAAUGCGUAGAUAUCAGAAGGAACGCCGGCGGCGAAAGCGAUUCUCUGGCCUAUUACUGACACUCAGUGUGCGAAAGCUAGGGGAGCAAACGGGAUUAGAUACCCCGGUAGUCCUAACCGUAAACGAUGGGCACUAAGUAGAGGGGUUUU